rnacentral:rRNA from 1 species
GUCCUUUUGAUUUUUAUUUAAGGUUUGACCUGCCCACUGAUUUAUUUAAUGGCCGCGGUAUUUUGACCGUGCAAAGGUAGCAUAAUAAUUUGUCUUUUAAUUGAAGGCUUGUAUGAAUGGUUGGACGAGAAAACUGCUUUCUUUAUAAUAGAAAUAUUAAUUUUAUUUUUUAGUUAAAAAGCUAAAAUUUUGUUGUAGGACGAGAAGACCCUAUAGAACUUUAUAUUUAUUUUUAUAAUAAUAUUUUUGGUUAAUAAUAUAUUAUAUUUUUAUAAAUAUUUUGUUGGGGCGACAAGAAAAUUUAUUUAACUUUUUUUAUUAAUUUCAUUAAUUAAUGUAUAAAUGAUCCUUUAUUAUGGAUAAUUAGAAUAAGUUACCUUAGGGAUAACAGCGUAAUUUUUUUGGAGAGUUCUUAUCGAUAAAGAAGUUUGCGA